GACGAACGCUGGCGGCGUGCUUAGCACAUGCAAGUCGAACGGAAAGGCCUGCUUUCCCUUGUGGAUUGCGGGUACUCGAGUGGCGAACGGGUGAGUAACACGUGAGUGAUCUGCCCCCAACUUGGGUAUAAGCCUGGGAAACUGGGUCUAAUUCCCGAUAGGACUGCAGGGUGGUGCCUGUGGUGGAAAACGAUUUUCUAGUGGUUGGGGAUGAGCUCGCGGCCUAUCAGCUUGUUGGUGGGGUAAUGGCCUACCAAGGCGGCGACGGGUAGCCGGCCUGAGAGGGUGGACGGCCACAUUGGGACUGAGAUACGGCCCAGACUCCUACGGGAGGCAGCAGUGGGGAAUAUUACACAAUGGGCGGAAGCCUGAUGCAGCGACGCCGCGUGGGGGAUGACGGCCUUCGGGUUGUAAACUCCUUUCGACCGCGAGGAAGCCACCUGGUUGGAAGGGUGGUGACGGUAGUGGUAGAAGAAGCACCGGCUAACUACGUG
rnacentral:rRNA from 1 species